UACGAAGGGGGCUAGCGUUGUUCGGAAUUACUGGGCGUAAAGCGCACGCAGGCGGAUCGAUAAGUCGGGGGUGAAAUCCCGGGGCUCAGCCUCGGAAUUGCCUUCGAUACUGUCGAUCUCGAGUCCGGGAGAGGUGGGUGGAAUUCCUAGUGUAGAGGUGAAAUUCGUAGAUAUUAGGAAGAACACCGGUGGCGAAGGCGGCUCACUGGCCCGGUACUGACGCUGAGGCGCGAAAGCUAGGGGAGCAAACGGG
rnacentral:rRNA from 1 species